GAAAGCCAGAUUCAUUUAACAACUGGGUUAUUAACUUAACAACUGCAGUGAUUCCCUUAAUAAAGGUGACAAGAACAGUCAUAAAAGUGGGGAAAUUGCCUCUUAA